UACGAAGGAUGCGAGCGUUAUCCGGAUUUAUUGGGUUUAAAGGGAGCGUAGGCGGUCUUAUAAGUCAGUGGUGAAAUCUCGUUGCUUAACAACGAACGUGCCAUUGAUACUGUAGGACUUGAGUACAGUUGCCGUUGGCGGAAUGUGUCAUGUAGCGGUGAAAUGCAUAGAUAUGACACAGAACACCGACUGCGAAGGCAGCUGACGAAACUGUAACUGACGCUGAGGCUCGAAAGCGUGGGGAUCAAACAGG
rnacentral:rRNA from 1 species